AACGAACGCUGGCGGCAGGCUUAACACAUGCAAGUCGAGCGCCCCGCAAGGGGAGCGGCAGUCGGAUGAGUAACGCGUGGGAACGUACCUUUUGGUUCGGAACAACUCCGGGAAACUGGAGCUAAUACCGGAUAAGCCCUAACGGGGAAAGGUUUAUCGCCGAAAGAUCGGCCCGCGUCUGAUUAGCUAGUUGGUGAGGUAACGGCGCACCAAGGCGACGAUCAGUAGCUGGUCUGAGAGGAUGAUCAGCCACACUGGGACUGAGACACGGCCCAGACUCUUACGGGAGGCAGCAGUGGGGAAUAUAGGACAAUGGGCGCAAGCCUGAUCCAGCCAUGCCGCGUGAGUGAUGAAGGCCGUAGAGUAGUAAAGCUCUUUUGUCCGGGAAGAUAAUGACGGUACCGAAAGAAUAAGCCCCGGCUAACUUCGUG
rnacentral:rRNA from 1 species